GGUACACGCUGUGACUAGCAUAUCAAUAAGCGGAGGAAAAGAAACUAACAAGGAUUCCCCUAGUAACGGCGAGUGAAGCGGGAAGAGCUCAAAUUUGAAAUCUUAAAGGGUUUCCCUUUACGAAUUGUAGUUUAAAGAAGUGUUUUCUGUUGAGGUUUUGGUAAAAGUUCUUUGGAAUAGGACAUCAUAGAGGGUGAGAAUCCCGUAUUUGACCUUUACUUUCAACUUUGUGAUACACUUUCAAAGAGUCGGAUUGUUUGGGAAUGCAGUCCAAAAUGGGUGGUAAAUUUCAUCUAAAGCUAAAUAUUGGCGAGAGACCGAUAGCGAACAAGUACCGUGAGGGAAAGAUGAAAAGAACUUUGAAAAGAGAGUUAAACAGUACGUGAAAUUGUCAAAAGGGAAGCGUUUGACACCAGUGUUGUUUUUCUGAAAAUCAAUUAAAGAACUGUUUAUGCUAAGUUGUUUAGACUUUAUCAGCUAACUGUUUAGUUUUGAGCUUUUCUUUAAUGCACUUUUCAGUUAACAAGUCAACAUCAAUUUCUUUUGCUGUAAAAAAGCUUGAGGAAGGUGGCUUGAGAUUCGUCUUAAGUGUUUAUAGCCUCUUGCCUAUGCAGUCGGAGAGAUUGAGGUCUGCAGCGUAGAUCCUUCGGGGCUAAAUGCAUUUGUGCUAAGUUAUAGCAUUUCAUAGACAACUUGUUGACUAUGAUUUGUCUUGUAGCUUACUCGCUUAUGUUAUUUUACCUACGCUUAGGAUGUUGACAGCAGUAUAGACUGU
rnacentral:rRNA from 1 species